rnacentral:rRNA from 1 species
GACGGGGGGGGCAAGUGUUCUUCGGAAUGACUGGGCGUAAAGGGCACGUAGGCGGUGAAUCGGGUUGAAAGUGAAAGUCGCCAAAAAGUGGCGGAAUGCUCUCGAAACCAAUUCACUUGAGUGAGACAGAGGAGAGUGGAAUUUCGUGUGUAGGGGUGAAAUCCGUAGAUAUCGGGAGGAACACCUGUGGCGAAGGCGGCCCCCUGGUUGGAUACUGACGCUGAGACGCGAAAGCGUGGGGAGCAAACAGG